UACGAAGGGGGCUAGCGUUGCUCGGAUUUACUGGGCGUAAAGGGCGCGUAGGCGGACAGUUAAGUUGGGGGUGAAAGCCCAGGGCUCAACCUCGGAACUGCCUUCAAUACUGGCUGUCUUGAGUGUGAGAGAGGUGUGUGGAACUCCGAGUGUAGAGGUGAAAUUCGUAGAUAUUCGGAAGAACACCAGUGGCGAAGGCGACACACUGGCGCACUACUGACGCUGAGGCGCGAAAGCGUGGGGAGCAAACAGG
rnacentral:rRNA from 1 species